ACCUCUGAUCCUGAUGAUGCUAAUGAUCCUGAAUUUGACGAGUCUGACUUCCAAGUCACACUCUCAAAGCUCCAAAUGUUGCAGGAUGUUGUCUUCAAGCAAGCAGAUGCCAACCUCGAGCGAGCUCAGGCAAAACAGCAGGCUGAUUUUGAAAGAAGGCGAUA